rnacentral:rRNA from 1 species
AUCUGGGCGGCGGAAUUCAGGAUGGCUGGCGGGCUUCGCGCUUGUCCGGUCGUUUGAUAUUUCCGUCGCCGUGUCGGACGUCGCGACCUGUUCAGUCGUCGGUCCCUGCUCGGAGGAAUCGCGAUCGAGUUCGUUGCGCGGUGCGUUUCGGCGUGCCGAGCGGCGAAGACGCGGCUCUCUGGCUGACGGCGGACAGUAAGCAACGGUGUCCGGCGUCGUGUCUCGCACUCGGCGCCGGUGCCGGUCUGCGACGAUUUCUUCGGGCCUCUUUCCGACCCGUCUUGAAACACGGACCAAGGAGUCUAACAUGCGCGCGAGUCGCGGGGUUUCGAGCGUACUACGGUGCGCUCGUUACUUGCGAAACCCGUACGUUGAAGGCGUAAUGAAAGUGAACAGGGAAGAUGGCGUUCCGAGUCCACGUACCGUGAUCGUGUGUCGCGGCCGGACGUCCGCACUCCCGGGGCGUCUCAAUAGCUCGUCGCGGAUGCGGACGGUCGUCUCUCGGGGCGGCUGUCGGUCUGCGACGGACAGA